rnacentral:rRNA from 1 species
AUUGAACGCUGGCGGCAUGCUUUACACAUGCAAGUCGAACGGUAGAGGGGAAACCCUUGAGAGUGGCGAACGGGUGAGUAAUGCAUCGGAACGUGCCCAGUAGUGGGGGAUAGCCCGGCGAAGGCCGGAUUAAUACCGCAUACGACCUGAGGGUGAAAGCGGGGGAUCGCAAGACCUCGCGCUAUUGGAGCGGCCGAUGUCAGAUUAGGUAGUUGGUGGGGUAAAGGCCUACCAAGCCGACGAUCUGUAGCUGGUCUGAGAGGACGACCAGCCACACUGGGACUGAGACACGGCCCAGACUCCUACGGGAGGCAGCAGUGGGGAAUUUUGGACAAUGGGCGCAAGCCUGAUCCAGCCAUGCCGCGUGCGGGAAGAAGGCCUUCGGGUUGUAAACCGCUUUUGUCAGGGAAGAAAUCUUCUGGGCUAAUACCCCGGGAGGAUGACGGUACCUGAAGAAUAAGCACCGGCUAACUACGUGCCAGCAGCCGCAGUAACAC